CAUGCCGUAAACGAUGAGUGCUAGGUGUUGGAGGGUUUCCGCCCUUCAGUGCCGGAGCUAACGCAUUAAGCACUCCGCCUGGGGAGUACGACCGCAAGGUUGAAACUCAAAGGAAUUGACGGGGGCCCGCACAAGCGGUGGAGCAUGUGGUUUAAUUCGAAGCUACGCGAAGAACCUUACCAGGUCUUGACAUCUUGCGCCAACCUCAGAGAUGAGGCGUUCCCUUCGGGGACGCAAUGACAGGUGG
rnacentral:rRNA from 1 species